UACGUAGGGUGCAAGCGUUAAUCGGAAUUACUGGGCGUAAAGCGCGCGCAGGCGGCUUUGCAAGUCAGAUGUGAAAUCCCCGGGCUUAACCUGGGAACUGCAUUUGUGACUGCAUGGCUGGAGUGCGGCAGAGGGGGAUGGAAUUCCGCGUGUAGCAGUGAAAUGCGUAGAUAUGCGGAGGAACACCGAUGGCGAAGGCAAUCCCCUGGGCCUGCACUGACGCUCAUGCACGAAAGCGUGGGGAGCAAACAGG
rnacentral:rRNA from 1 species